UCCCGAAUGACGUGGCAGUCAUUUUAAAGACAAAAUUUUAAAAAUAAAAAAUUGAACCAUAAAACGGGAAACCCUUGCUACCGUUCCUCAUUUGUCUUCUCUCCCGAAAUCAAAGCGACACCCAAAUUGAAAUCCACAGAAAUGGGAAACGUUCCCCGACCUCUCCACCUUCGGCCACAAUUACAUCGACGGUGCCGUCUUCACUAAGGCCAUCUCCAGCCUCACCAUUUCCGGCCACACUUCAGAAGAAGGUUGUCGUCGCUCUGGGUCACCUCCAUCGAAGUUUCACCGUCAUCCCAGAUCACCAUCGCCGGCAGGCAGUGAAGAAUGGGCAGAAGGAAGAUUGCUGCUUGAGUAUUAGACGACAAAGAAGCCAGAUUGCUGCUUGAUUAUCUAUUUCAGUUUUUUGCUUUCUUCCCAAUUGCUGCUUUACAGUUCUCGACACCUUGGAUAUGUGGUUUUAGGCUCGUUCCUCUAUUGCUGUAUUCCAGGCACUUUGGAUAUGUGGUUUGAAGCUGGUAAUUGAAUUUUGUGUCUGUUGAGUUGAUGAAUAUCAUGAUUUUGGCUGUCAAUUCAUUUUUGUAUGUUGAGUUGAUGAACAUCUGGAUUAGAUCAGGUAGUAUGUUCAAUGCUAGUAGUUGAUUUUUGUGUCUGUGAUUAACAUCACUUUGGCAGUCAAUGUGGUUUUCAGUGUAAUGAACUCAUGACUUUUUAUUGUUUUUUUUCCUCCUGUUAUCUUAGUUCCUCGUUUAAUAAAGUGUAAUCACAUAUUGAAAUC